rnacentral:lncRNA from 1 species
CCCAGUUCUCCCUUAAAAAUACUUGGGGGAAGAAAGUGCUUGACUACUCACAGUCCUGUGAUGACCUGUGGCGGAAGGUAAACCGAAGGUGACUGCGGUUAACGUCCUCGAUGGGAAUGGCCACCUUCAAGAAUUGAAAAAGAAGUUUAAGCACUGUUAUCAAUAUCAUCCAGCGUAACAGCUUUAUUCAACUGGAGCUAUCAGAGAAAUAUGCAACUGCGAAGUUCUCACGGGAGAAGUCCUGAGCACACUGCAAGGCAUCCUGGGACCACAGUCUCAAGGGUCACAGAGGAAGGGACUUCGGGGCUGAGACCUGCAGGAAGUGAGGGAACUGCAGGCCUGUCCUCACCCAGGGGAGGUGGAGCCCCCAGACGCUGUGAUAUGAAAUUCCAGAUCAUGGGAGGGAGAGUUUGAAGAAGGAAGAACCACCAAUAGAAAGCGGUCCCCAAAGAGGUAUCGGGGAUGGCACCCAGACAGGAGCACAUGUACCACUGCCCAGAAUGUGCAUUUCACUAGACAAGUGACCACAAAAGUUUUCACUGUGACUUGAAAAUGCCCACUCCUCCCAGAAGUUCAAGGAACUGGACCCCCGGACAUGAGCCCAAGGUUCGCCGGCUUCAAAGAUCCUGGCCACACACCAGUGAGCCUGGCAGAGGCAGGCUUCUGGUCCUCUUUCCCAGUGAUUUCCUGCUGGCCUGACACCAAACUCCACUUUCCCUGAAUGACUCUAAUAAAAGUUUAUCAAAACUC